AGUCCUAGAAGCUGGGUUAGAGUCCUAGAAUAAGAAUAAGGCCUUUGGUCUGGGCUAGAGUCCUAGAAGCUGGGUUAGAGUCCUAGAAUAUUUUCCUUUAGGUCGGGUUGUAGUCCCGACUUGGGUUCCAGAGAGACUGUUGAUCUGAUCUUAAAUACAUUGCACUUUCAAUUUUACUUACUAAAAAGCCUUUUUAACUUUCAAUUUAAUUUUCUCUUAAAUACAUUGCACUUUCUAUUUUACUCAUUUCUUGCAUAUGUUUUCUUUUACUUAUCUAUUAUUUUAUUUUAUUGUAUGACAAUGUUUAUAUGUGAAGCACUUUGAGUCUGCCUUGUGUAUGAAAAGUGCUAUAUAAAUAAAGUUGCCUUGCCUUG